GUGGAUCGCCUCGCCUGCGGCGGCUGCGGUGCGGAGACGACAAGGGUCAAGAGGGUUUUGGUUUGGGGGAGAAGAAGAGGGGAAGCAGCGAGUCGAACGGUGAUUGAGGAGGAUGAGGCGCAACGGGCAGGUGGCCCCCGUACAUAAAGGCUUGGACAGCUGGACGCCUGGACAUGAAGCUCGCAAAUUCCUUCGCAAUUCAAACCGGAGGGCGCCCAUCCAAAUAUUUUCCAAUGUAUAGAGAAAUUUACGAAACAAAAAGAACCUAAACCAAAUACUAGUACUGUACUACUACUCCAAUGUGAGAAAAAAAAAUUUAGCUGUAGGAGGAGUAGUAAUUCAAAUUUCAAAAAUAAUGAAAGAUAUCAGAGAACCGUACUACUUUUUGGUAGACUUCGGUAGGGGGUAGUUUUGCUUUUUGGGUUGGCACUGUAGCUUGCGGGAGAUCAGAGAACAGAGCGAGCGAAUCACGUUGUCAGACGAGAGUUUGACCCAUCUUAUCUAACGUACAGUACGCUCUUGGCUUGCUGGGCCCUGGGCUCAACAAAAUGAUGUGUUCACGUCCUGUUUGACCAUUGGCACGUGCCGUGUCACGCCUGAUUGCAAAGCCACAAUGUUGGGGCGCCUUUUGGCAGGUAGUACUAGUAUUACUCUAAUUGCUUUCAAAAUUCUUAAUUUUAAUUAGCACCUGUUUAUAUUUAUCCACUUGCACCAUCCGUACUAUACAAAGUUAAAAACCACUUCAAAUUUAGAUGAGUGCAUUCAUCCUUAGAAAUUGUCCUUUUGGACUUAGAGAGGACGCAGUUACACUUACACCCUACUCAAUAAGAUGUACUUCCUCCUUCCCAAUAUAUUUGACGUUUUACUUCUUGUGGUCCAUUGACCCACAAUGCUUGACGUUUUAGUAAGGAGCAUAAACAUGAGACAGGCGCAGCAGAGUACGAUUCAAAUUUUACUAACCGGGUAAUCAGGAACAUCAGCUCGUCCAUGAUUCCACCGUGGCAGGAACGGCCGGUGUAUUUUUAUCUAAAAUGACUACUCAUCAUGGCUAUUUAAAGUAACUAGUACUCCAGUUAGGGCAGCCAUAAUGUAGCAAUAGAAGGGGGUCUUAAGCCUCUAAAGUGGCCCUUUAUACAUUGUGAUAGUAGUCCAUAUAUUAGUCUUUAAGAUGAGCUAGCCAUAUGCAUAAUGUCUACCCAUAAAAAUAAAGUAAUAAUACUUUAUCUUCUCUCUCCUCUUCUCUCUCACAUGCCAUAUAUUCGAGUGGGACAGUGGAAUCCAGGCUAAUGCAUUCUCUUACCAUAUACUAAUAUUGGGUCCUACCUUAUUACCCAAGUAGACAUUAUACAUUGAGGUUGUGUUUAGUUCAUACUGAAGUUUGAAAGUUUGGUUGAAAUUGGUACGAUAUGAUAGAAAAGUUGUGUGUGUAUGAAAUAUUUGAUGUGAUGGAAAGUUGGAAGUUUGAAAAAAAAACUUUGGAACUAAACAGGGCCUGAGCAUACCCUUAGGGCUAUAUGGUAAUUUUCACCUAGGCUUGAUUUGGCUCAACUAUGCUAGAACGUCGAGUAUACUGGGACAGAUGGAGUAGAUUCUAUCUCGGCUUCCAUUAGCAUGUUUUUCAAACUGCUAAAUGGUACGUUUGUGAAAAAAAAAUUCUAUUUGAAAGUUGCUCUAAAAUAAGUUUAUAAUAAUUAAAACUUAAUUAGCUAUAUGCUAAUGUCUUUCUUGUUUUAUGUGCUUUACAUAAUCUUAAUCUUCAUCUAUCAUGGCCCCUCUCACACUUCUCCCUUCAAUAAUAACUGGAUUUGAUAAGCAUAUUUGAAUUAAUACAGAGUUUAUUAGUUAUGUUUCCAUAUUAUAACCAUACGAGUCAAUGUUAAUUUUCACAAAACAUGUAUCGGUGUCUCUAAAUAUGAGUUCUGUGCACUUUUAGUUGGUGCAAAGGCCAAAAGUUAUAUACUAUAUUUAUUAAAAAAAUAAUACGCUAAUUGUUUGAAAUUCGUCUCAAGAUGUAUCGGGUGAUGUAUACUUGUAUGGUGGUAGCAAAUUUGAUUCGCAAACCUAACAAUGGACAAGGAUGAGCAUAGACAAAUCCGUAGUUACAUCUGAUGUUACUCUACCGGAGUAAAUUAAAAUUUGGUUUAAUUUAAAAUUUCAAAUUACACUACUUCCGUUUUUCAUUUUCAUUAUUUUCGAGUUUCGACCAGUUUUAAUAAAGUUUAUAAAUUCUUAUCCCGACGCGCUGAUCAGGGUGGUGAUUGCUAUUUUGUUCUUGAUGGGUUUUGGAUGGAACUUCUAAAUUCUAGAUGUCGCACAAAACUGUUGGUAUUUUGGUCAUUUUACUUAAAAAAAGUUGAUUAUAUAGGUUUAUAUGCAUGGUUAAAAGUGGUAAAUAAAUUAAAAACGGAGGGACCGAGGGAGUAAUUUGUUUGGUUGAACCUGGUGGUGAGUCCAAAAGGCAAUCCUUCGAAAGUCAAAGGUCAAAAGUUACGCAGUGGAGAACUCAAGCAGAAGCUAUUGGGCCGGGCUGCAGCAACAGCUGGCCCGGCCCGACUAGGUGGAUAUUUUCAGACUACCGUCCAGGUGGCAAGACCGCAAGAGCUCCUCCUCCUCC
rnacentral:sRNA from 1 species